rnacentral:rRNA from 1 species
GGAAUCUUCCACAAUGGACGAAAGUCUGAUGGAGCAACGCCGCGUGAGUGAAGAAGGGUUUCGGCUCGUAAAACUCUGUUGUUGAAGAAGAACAUAUCUGAGAGUAACUGUUCAGGUAUGGACGGUAUUUAACCAGAAAGCCACGGCUAACUACGUGCCAGCAGCCGCGGUAAUACGUAUGUCCCGAGCGUUAUCCGGAUUUAUUGGGCGUAAAGCGAGCGCAGACGGUUGAUUAAGUCUGAUGUGAAAGCCCGGAGCUCAACUCCGGAAUGGCAUUGGAAACUGGUUAACUUGAGUGCAGUAGAGGUAAGUGGAACUCCAUGUGUAGCGGUGGAAUGCGUAGAUAUAUGGAAGAACACCAGUGGCGAAGGCGGCUUACUGGACUGUAACUGACGUUGAGGCUCGAAAGUGUGGGUAGCAAACA